rnacentral:rRNA from 1 species
CCCUACGGGGGGGCACCAGUAGGGAUUUUUCGCCUACAUGGGGGAAAUCCUGAGGGAGCAACGCCGCGUGAGCGGAGGAAGGUCCUUCGGUUCGUAAAGUUCUGUUGUUAGGGAAGAACAAGUACCGGUCGAAUAGGGCGGUACCUUGACGGUACCUAACCAGAAAGCCCCGGCUAACUCCGUGCCAGCAGCCGCGGUAAUACGUAGGUGGCAAGCGUUGUCCGGAAUUAUUGGGCGUAAAGCGCGCGCAGGCGGUUUUUUAAGUUCUGAUGUGAAAGCCCGCGGCUCAACCUGCGGAGGGUCAUUGGAAACUGGGGAACUUGAGUGGCAGAAGAGGAAAAGCGGAAUUCCACGUGGUAGCGGUGAAAUGGCGUAGAGAUGUGGAGGAACACCAGUGGGCGAAGGCGGCUUUCUGGUCUGUAACUGACGCUGAAGGCGCGAAAGCGUGGGGAGCAAACCAGGAUUAGAUACCCUGGGUAGUCCACGCCGUAAACGAUGAGUGCUAAGUGUUAGAGGGUUUCCGCCCUCAGUGCCGCAGCUAACGCAUUAACCACUCCGGCCCUUGGGGAGUACGUAGCGCAGACUGAAACUCAAAGAAAUUGACGG